rnacentral:lncRNA from 1 species
GGGGCAUGGAAUCCUGGAAAAGUCAUGGAUUUUUAUUUAGGGGGAGAAAGGCCUUUAAAAGUUAUGGAAAGCUAUAUUUUAGUGACAAGUCCUUGAAUAGUCAUGGAAAUGAUUAUUUGCACUGUAUAUUUUAUUGCAUGUCUUCAAACAUCUAAAAUUAAAUGAUCCCCGUAGUUUUUGUCCAAACUGUUUCUUUUUCGAAUGCUAGAAACAAUGCCCUAGUUGUGGUAAGUGUAAAAUGAGAAUUUAAAAUUCGUUUCUUCAAAAUUGUUUAUAAAAAUAUGCAACCGCAUCUGGUUCCCUUCAUAGUGCAAUUUGCUUUAACAGUAUUGAAAUAAGAAACCAGCUAUCGGAAUAUUCGAAAACGAAGUUAUUUCUACCAAACAGCUAACCCGAAUAAUUCAGUCGUUAUAUUCCGCUGAUCUACGAAGGCUACAUUAACGCCUGAACGUCUUCCUCGAUCAAGUCCGUCAACCGGAAUUUUCACACCGCUUUGCAAUAUGGGAAUUUUGAUUUAAAUUGGCAGCUAAAGAAGGAGGAGUUCCGGAUGUUAAUUGAUGUUAAAUGAUGUAAAC